rnacentral:rRNA from 1 species
CCAGAGAAGAAGCCCCGGCUAACUUCGUGCCAGCAGCCGCGGUAAUACGAAGGGGGCGAGCGUUGUUCGGAAUUACUGGGCGUA